rnacentral:rRNA from 1 species
UACAGAGGGUGCAAGCGUUAAUCGGAAUUACUGGGCGUAAAGCGUGCGUAGACGGUUGCGUAAGUCAGAUGUGAAAGCCCCGGGCUCAACCUGGGAAUUGCAUUUGAGACUGCGUAGCUAGGGUGCGGAAGAGGGAAGCGGAAUUUCCGGUGUAGCGGUGAAAUGCGUAGAUAUCGGAAGGAACACCAGUGGCGAAAGCGGCUUCCUGGACCAUUACUGACGCUGAGGAGCGAAAGCCAGGGGAGCAAACGGG